rnacentral:rRNA from 1 species
AGUGCUUAUUGUGUUAACUUCGGCACUGAAUAUCGCUACCCAACACCUAGCACUCAUCGUUUACAGCGUGGACUACCAGGGUAUCUAAUCCUGUUUGCUACCCACGCUUUCGUGACUCAGCGUCAGUUACAGUCCAGUAAGUCGCCUUCGCCACUGGUGUUCCUCCUAAUAUCUACGCAUUUCACCGCUACACUAGGAAUUCCACUUACCUCUCCUGCACUCAAGUUGUACAGUUUCAAAUGCUUACACAAGUUAAGCCUGUGCCUUUUACAUCUGACAUAUACAACCGCCUACUCACCCUUUACGCCCAGUAAAUCCGGACAACGCUCGCCCCCUACGUAUUACCGCGGCUGCUGGCACGUAGUUAGCCGGGGCUUCCUCCUUGGCUACCGUCAUUUUUUUCGUCACCAAGGACAGAGUUUUACGAUCCGAAGACCUUCUUCACUCACGCGGCGUCGCUGCAUCAGGCUUUCGCCCAUUGUGCAAUAUUCCCACUGCUGCCUCCCGUAGAGUCUGGACCGUGUCUCAGUUCCAGUGUGGCCGUUCACCCUCUCANGNCGGCUACUGAUCGUCGCCUUGGUAAG